AGUGAACGCUGGCGGCGUGCCUAAUACAUGCAAGUCGAACGGAGUGGCGCACGGGUGAGUAAUAUAUAGCUAAUCUGCCCCUUGCUGGAGGACAACAGUUAGAAAUGACUGCUAAUACUCCAUAGCAAGGGAUGAGACGAUAUCGUAUCAGCUAGUCGGUGGGGUAACGGCCUACCGAGGCUAUGACGCGUAACUGGUCUGAGAGGAUGAUCAGUCAAAUUGGCACUGGGACACGGUCCAAACUCCUACGGAAUGCAGCAGUAGGUAACAUUGCGAAGUGGGGGAAGCCCUGACGCAGCACCGCCGGGUGGGCGAUGACACUUUGCGGAGCGGAAACUCCUUUUGUUAGUGAAGCGGUACCUAACGAAUAAGCACCGGCUAACUCCGUGCCAGCAGCCGCGGUAAUAC
rnacentral:rRNA from 1 species